UGCCUCCAGAUCCCUUAUCCAUCAGAUCUGAACACUGGCCCCAGUGGGUGCAAAAGGAGGAAAAGUGAAACGGAAACUGACUUCUAUUCUUUUUGUGACAACUGAGCUAGUUUCAAACAAAC